CCGCCGCCAAGUAAGUCAACCAGCCCCUUCCUCAUGGGGGCCUUGUGUGCAGUGGUUGUGAACAGUAGCCUCAUGGGAGCGCAUUUAACCUGUUGCCUACAGGGGUUGCCCUGCGGGACUCUGGAGACAGUU
ensembl:snoRNA SNORA70 Small nucleolar RNA SNORA70